rnacentral:lncRNA from 1 species
GUAGCAAGUUACUCAAUUUUCCUGGGAUUCUCCCAUGUAUACACAUCAUUAAAUUUGUUUGAUUUUCUCCUGUCAUCCUGUCUCAUGUCAAUUUCUUAGAGCAGCCAGAAGACCAUAGACAGGUAGGGGGAAAUUCCUUUCUCCUCUCCAGUUGGGGAUGAGGAUGGGAUAAAACUUAACUGGCUGGACGCUGCUUGUUCUGGGACUACUGCAGCUGACAGAUCCUGGACCUCUGACAAGAGCUGGCAGCAGCUAAGAGUUCUUACCAUGUCCGUGUCCCAGAUCUCUGCCUGCAGGAUCCAGCGGAAGCAAGAGUGAAAUCCUUCAUUAAAUACAUGAUUGCUUACUUACACAAUGUAGGCCUAACUUUGGGAGCCCACUUGCAUCAGCUCCUCCUGAAAUGAAUUUAACUGGACUGACCUAUUGUCAGUACCAAGAGACUGAUUCAAUGAGAUGGAACAAUCUGCCAACUCAGCAUCUGGACAGUGAAACUUCUUAGAGAAGUUUGAAAGGCAGAAAUAAAGGUCUUGUUCACACUCAAUCAAGCAUUUCUGCUAUUUGAUAAAUUUUUCUCAGAGAUUCAGUAGCACCUGUCUUUAAUUGAAUGUUAUAUAUUUUUAGGACCGUGAACCUGUCCCCUGCAUCUUGUCA